AUGGCGUCUCCGUCCCCCUCGCCGGCCCUGUCGCCGGCGCCCUGGAACCCGGUGCUCCUCACCGGGCUGCAUGCCGCUCCUACGCCGAACAACUACACUGGAGGUGGUGAUUGGUAUAUGGACACCAGUGCCACGGCUCACAUGUUUGCUCAUCCUGGUAACCUUGCCUCCUUCACUCCUGUCUUCACCGACCCCCGUAUCAUUGUCGACGAUGGUUCCACACUUCCUAUCACACAUGUUGGGCACACUUCUUUUCCUUCUACUUCUACGCCUUUAUCUUUGUCUAACAUACUUGUGUCUCCUCAUCUUAUUAAGAAUCUUAUCUUCGUUCGUUGUUUCACUCGUGAAAAUCCUGUCACUGUUGAAUUUGACGAGCUUGCUUUUCGUGUCAAGGAAGCUCGAACCAGGAUGGUCCUCCACCGAUGUGACAGCCCCGACGAGCUCUAUCCGGUGCAUUCGCCCUCAUCCGCCACCACCACACCGGUCGCUCUCUUCGUUGGAGUUGAUCUCUAG
rnacentral:rRNA from 1 species